CGUAACCAAGCGGGGCCAUGUGCCAAGUGCGGAGGUUUGGUCUCCGGAAUAUGGAGGUGCACCACGGCCGCCCAGCGGCCAGGCGUGGUCGUUGGAAGAAGAUCACGCAAGCUGGCAGUACUGUCCUGGUGGCUGUUUCUGGCAAUCAUCUGAUGGAAGUCAAAGAUCAUGAGAAAGAGCAGAUUGAAGACAACAAAUGUCAGAAUGAGAAAAUCCCUUUGCCAAUCGGCCAUCACCUCCGAUUGAGCUCAAACCGGCAGUGACAGUAGCUUCCACUGCCGGUUUGAACCACGGACCUAUUGUGAAUACAGAAGCAUUUUUCAUCGCCGUUUCAUGUUACGGACUAACAGUGAUGAUCGC